GUCUAUGGCCAUGCCACCCUGAGUAAGCCUGAUCAAGCCUGAUUUUGGAAGCUAAGCAGGGUUGGGGCUGGUUAGUACUUGGAUGGGAGGCCACCUAGGAAGACCAGGUGCUGUAGUAG
rnacentral:rRNA from 1 species